AUGGGGAUUAUGACUGGAUUGAGAAAUAUUUUAGGACACUUCCAGACUGGUUUAGAACUUCGGGAGGUUCAGGUUCAUUUGUACACAAGCACAGGAGGACACCAGCCCCAUGCGAAGCCCAGGGGUCAUACUCGUUCUUCUGUAGAAGAUUAUCUGCAUAAUUUUGUGACACCUGAACUGUGUGUAUUCCUUCAGGUAGACAUUCCUGAAAUCUCUACUUGGGCUAAUGGCCUUUCCUCUGAGUUCCCUUCUGCUGUCAUGAUCAACACAGUGAGUGGAAUAGGAGGAUCUCAAUAUCUGCUCCCAGGAUGA
rnacentral:lncRNA from 1 species